rnacentral:sRNA from 1 species
GAUGGUCUGAGGUGGGAGAAGAGCUGAAGAGACCUGGAGCCGACAGACGGGUGAAGGCCAUGCCGCCUCCUGGGAAAGUUCCCCGAAAGGAGAAUCUGUGGCUACAGUGUGAGUGGGGGUCCUGCUCCUUUGUGUGCUCAACCAUGGAAAAGUUCUUUGAGCAUGUCACUCAGCACCUGCAGCAGCACCUGCAUGGCUCUGGGGAGGAGGAGGAAGAGGAAGAGGAGGAUGACCCACUUGGUAAGAGAGCAGGACACAGGAAGGGGAGGAGCUCAAGGAAAGGUGGAAAAUCUGGCUUUCUCUUCCUUAGAGGGAGAAGGCGGCCUAAGAGAAUGGUGGUUUAUUUUCCUAAUUGUGUUUUUGUUGUAUAUAAAAACAUUGUAAACUCAUUUAUAGAAAACACAGUCAACAAGGAUAUAAGGAAUAAAUCUGCCAUCCUGCCAUCAAGAAGUAAUUGCUGACAGUACUUUAGUGAACAUUGUUUUUGACAUCUCUCUGCAUGUGUUUACAUAUAUUUAAAUACAGAUGAAUGUGCUUUUUUUUUUUUAAUCAUUCUGUACAAGUUGUUGGCAACCUG